GACGAACGCUGGCGGCGUGCUUAACACAUGCAAGUCGAACGGAAAGGCCUGCUUUCCCUUGUGGAUUGCGGGUACUCGAGUGGCGAACGGGUGAGUAACACGUGAGUGAUCUGCCCCCAACUUGGGUAUAAGCCUGGGAAACUGGGUCUAAUUCCCGAUAGGACUGCAGGGUGGUGCCUGUGGUGGAAAACGAUUUUCUAGUGGUUGGGGAUGAGCUCGCGGCCUAUCAGCUUGUUGGUGGGGUAAUGGCCUACCAGGGCGGCGACGGGUAGCCGGCCUGAGAGGGUGGACGGCCACAUUGGGACUGAGAUACGGCCCAGACUCCUACGGGAGGCAGCAGUGGGGAAUAGUGCACAAUGGGCGGAAGCCUGAUGCAGCGACGCCGCGUGGGGGAUGACGGCCUUCGGGUGGUAAACUCCUUUCGACCGCGAGGAAGCCACCUGGUUGGAAGGGUGGUGACGGUAGUGGUAGAAGAAGCACCGGCUAACUACGUG
rnacentral:rRNA from 1 species